rnacentral:tRNA from 2 species
GACUCUGUAGUGAAAUUCAUAGUGAGUUGCAAGCUCAUUGAUGUGCAUGAGUAGUGCGCCAGGGUCU